rnacentral:tRNA from 1 species
GCGCAGGUCGCGCGCGAGGAUGAACGCGAUCUCGCCUUCGGCGCGCGGCGCGAUCAGCGAAUCGGCGGCGAUCGCCUCGCCGGCCGCGUA